rnacentral:rRNA from 1 species
UGGGGAAUUUUGGACAAUGGGCGAAAGCCUGAUCCAGCAAUGCCGCGUGUGUGAAGAAGGCCUUCGGGUUGUAAAGCACUUUUGUCCGGAAAGAAAUCCUUGGCUCUAAUACAGUCGGGGGAUGACGGUACCGGAAGAAUAAGCACCGGCUAACUACGUGCCAGCAGCCGCGGUAAUACGUAGGGUGCAAGCGUUAAUCGGAAUUACUGGGCGUAAAGCGUGCGCAGGCGGUUUGCUAAGACCGAUGUGAAAUCCCCGGGCUCAACCUGGGAACUGCAUUGGUGACUGGCAGGCUAGAGUAUGGCAGAGGGGGGUAGAAUUCCACGUGUAGCAGUGAAAUGCGUAGAGAUGUGGAGGAAUACCGAUGGCGAAGGCAGCCCCCUGGGGCCAAUACUGACGCUCAUGCACGAAAGCGUGGGGAGCAAACAGGAUUAGAUACCCUGGUAGUCCACGCCCUAAACGAUGUCAACUAGUUGUUGGGGAUUCAUUUCCUAGUAACGUAGCUAACGCGUGAAGUUGACCGCCUGGGGGAGUACGGUCGCAAGAUUAAAACUCAAAUGAAUUGACGGGGUCAUAGCUGUUUCCU